GGCUUCUGAGAGAGUGGGUGGGGAAAACUUGCAGGGGAAGGGCUGUACCUAUGCCAGGACUCGGCUGAUGAUAUCAAGAGAGAGAAAAGGGGCUGGCAUCAUAGUCGGCUGGGGCAAGCUGACCUUGACUACAGUGGCCAUGGGUCUCCUUGGAAUCCUGUUGCUGACCUGCCCAAACUGGAUUCAGCAGCCCCAUGGAACUCGGGGCCUGCUAUGGCCUCCAAGUCCCACACAGCCCUAAUGAGCAUCUCCUUAGCCUAGCACAGAGCAGGAGCUUGCGAGUAGUUGCUGAGGUCCAAGAACUUGACAUUUCCACUUGCUCAUGGCCUGAACUCCUAACUUCCAUGGUGCUUCUCCUCCUGAAAAUGUGAUUACAAAAGCAAUAGAGUCAUUAUAGAAAAUGCACAGCCAUUACACAAGUAAUGGAAAGACAAGCAGAAGAGCUGGUUCUGGCGUCUAAUUCAGCCUGGACGAGGGGACUUUUUAAAGGGUUCUUGAUGGUCUUUAGGAUAUGAAAGCUCAGGAUAUUCCAGCUGGAAAAAGCACAUUCCACAAUGGAGGCCUCAUACUCCGUAUAGGAAAACAAAGGACUUGAAAAUUUUAGUGGCUCGGUGAAAGGUUAAGGACACAAACUGGGACCCUGGGGACAGAAGUGAGGGUAUCCAGAGAGGGACCCAGCCACCUGUGAGAAGCAGGGGUCAGAGAAGAAGGAUGUCCGGUGAGAACCCCCCAGAAGCAGGAUCAGCCUGGACACACUGGAACACAGACACUUCUGCUGAUUUUAAGUUGUCUACCACACCAUGCAGAACAGUAGCCCCUCAGCAGUGCCUCGUGCAAGAUAUUCUUUGGAGAAAUCAAGGAGAAGGGGCAAUGUUUCAUAUUUGUGUUAAUUAUGGACAGAGAAAGGAACAGCUGUGGAAAGUGAGAUGCCAGGGAAACUGAGACUGGCAGGAAGAGGAAAUGGGAGUAAACAGAACUUGUUGUGGUUCUUGAGUUGCUCAGUUGUGUCUGACUCUUCUCCAACUCCAUGGACUGUAGCCUUCCAGGCUCUUCUGUCCAUGGGAUUUCUCAGGAGCAGAAGCAACCACUUUCACGUCCAUCCUAUUAAGC
ensembl:lncRNA